AUUGAACGCUGGCGGCAUGCCUUACACAUGCAAGUCGAACGGCAGCACGGGGCAGCCUGGUGGCGAGUGGCGAACGGGUGAGUAAUGCAUCGGAACGUACCUUUCAGUGGGGGAUAACGUAGCGAAAGUUACGCUAAUACCUCAUAUUCUGUGAGCAGGAAAGCAGGGGAUCGCAAGACCUUGCGCUGAUUGAGCGGCCGAUGUCAGAUUAGCUAGUUGGUGAGGUAAAGGCUCACCAAGGCGACGAUCUGUAGCGGGUCUGAGAGGAUGAUCCGCCACACUGGAACUGAGACACGGUCCAGACUCCUACGGGAGUCAGCAGUGGGGAAUUUUGGACAAUGGGGGCAACCCUGAUCCAGCCAUGCCGCGUGAGUGAAGAAGGCCUUCGGGUUGUAAAGCUCUUUCGGCCGGGAAGAAAUCGCACGGGCUAAUACCCUGUGUGGAUGACGGUACCGGAAUAAGAAGCACCGGCUAACUACGUGCCAGCAGCCGCCGUAACAC
rnacentral:rRNA from 1 species